rnacentral:lncRNA from 10 species
AAAGUUUGGUUUGACAGAAUGGGUUUUGCCUAAAUAUAUAUAUAUAUAUAUAUAUUUUUUUUUUUCCAGACAGAAUCUCACUCUGUCGCCCAGGCUGGAGUGCAGUGGCGUGAUCUCGGCUCACUGAAACCUCUACCUCCCCAGUUCAAACGAUUCUCCUGCCUCCCCCUCCUGAUUAGGCCUCCCAAAAUGCUGGGAUUACAGGUGUGAGCCACUGCACCUGGCCUUGCCUAUAAUUUUUGAAUAGCUUUGGAAGCAAUGUGAGACAAGCUCCCUGAGGGCAUUAAAGAAACCACCGUAUGUCAUCAAAGGAUUCUUCCUGAGUACAUGCAGUGGGGCUGUGGCUCUGGGUCCUCUCUGAGUGAUGAAAGUUUUGCUCCCUCUCUUCUCUUCCUGUCUCCCUCUUCUCCACGGGGAUCAUAGAUUAUCUUCCUUCC